CAUCCAUGCAGGAAUGUACCAUGAAGCAACACUCAAGUUCUGCUUGUAUGACUGGACCUGCUAGGUUACAAAAUGUAAGCCAAAGUUCAGCUCCUGGGGGAGACAGGAAAGCAAGCUCUUACCAAGGCUCAGAGAAUCCCAGUGGAAGCCACGCCACUGCAGGCAUUCAGAUCCCUGACAGAAGAAGAGAUUUGUACUUCUAGCCGCUGGAUGGUUCUCCUUUAUUCUGGAAGAGGAAGUUCUUGCUGUGAACUCUUACUGUUUGCAACUGUGAAUCAAGAAGUGGACUGCAGCUAUUCUGUGUUCUCUCUGUUGGAAGGAUACAUGUGCUAUUUACUAUUUGGGGAGUGAAGAAUCAUCAUUUUCUAUUCAGUAAAUAAUUUCUAAUAGCUGUGGGAUUAAACCUGACUCUUUGUUGUGAAGAAAUAUUGUCUACUGAAGGCUUUUCAUGUGGCCCUCUUGAAAAGACUCUUAGCACUGUUUAAUCCAUGUAUUCAUUUACCAUCUCUUGAUAAGAAUCACAAUUCUUAUCAAUGCAAUUGCUGACUGGUAAGUGCAGGGAUGCAGUUUGAAUUUGCAUAUGCAGAUGAAUAUGGCAUAUAUAUAUAUAUGAAUAUGCAGAUGGAUUUGGCAUAAAUUCUGUGCUGCAGGUUCUGAGCUUGAUUUGAUACCUCCACGUUGUUCAAAAUAGUCUUAGGCCAGGGGCAAGAGACUUCAAGACGACCAUGGGUCAUGCUUAUGGUUUGGAAGUACAGUGAUUUGUAACCAUACUUGCAAUUCACAGGGGCAUUCUUCAGAAACUGUAUAAUAUGCAUAUGACCAAAGGCUCUGUUUUGCCUUCAUAUAAUGUAUCCUCUAGAAAACAGUGAAUUAACACUAAAUCUGGGAGGAAAUCUGGAUCCUCAUUGGGUGCAAUUAAAAUACCCUUGAGCAAAAGCUGGAGGGGGGAAUAUUCUGUUUUCCCAACCUCUCUGCAGGCAUAAGAGCUUCUGACCAAGCAAAAAUCAAUUCCUCCAUGGUAGCUGCAUCCCACAGACCUCAGAGGGGCUGAAUAUGGGUUCCAUGCAGUGGAAUCCAUGAACUGUGCAUUGAUCCUUC
rnacentral:lncRNA from 1 species